UUGAACGCUGGCGGAAUGCUUUACACAUGCAAGUCGAGCGGCAGCGCGGCCUUCGGGCUGGCGGCGAGCGGCGAACGGGUGAGUAAUGCAUCGGAACAUGCCCAGUCGUGGGGGAUAACACUUCGAAAGAAGUGCUAAUACCGCAUACGUCCUGAGGGGGAAAGCGGGGGAUCGCAAGACCUCGCGCGAUUGGAGUGGCCGAUGUCAGAUUAGCUAGUUGGUGGGGUAAAGGCCUACCAAGGCGACGAUCUGUAGCUGGUCUGAGAGGAUGAUCAGCCACACUGGGACUGAGACACGGCCCAGACUCCUACGGGAGGCAGCAGUGGGGAAUUUUGGACAAUGGGGGCAACCCUGAUCCAGCCAUUCCGCGUGAGUGAAGAAGGCCUUCGGGUUGUAAAGCUCUUUCGGCAGGAACGAAACGGUGGGCUCUAACAUAGUCCGCUAAUGACGGUACCUGAAGAAGAAGCACCGGCUAACUACGU
rnacentral:rRNA from 1 species